GACGAACGCUGGCGGCGUGCUUAACACAUGCAAGUCGAACGAUGAACCAGGGCUUGCUCUGGGGAUUAGUGGCGAACGGGUGAGUAACACGUGGGCAACCUGCCCCAGACACCGGGAUAACCAUUCGAAAGGAUGGCUAAUACCGGAUAUGACCACUUCGGGCAUCCGACGGUGGUGGAAAGGAUUCUGGUCUGGGAGGGGCCCGUGGCCUAUCAGCUAGUUGGUGGGGUAAUGGCCUACCAAGGCGACGGCGGGUAGCCGGCCUGAGAGGGCGACCGGCCACACUGGGACUGAGACACGGCCCAGACUCCUACGGGAGGCAGCAGUGGGGAAUAUUGCGCAAUGGGCGAAAGCCUGACGCAGCGACGCCGCGUGAGGGACGAAGGUCUUCGGAUUGUAAACCUCUUUCAGCAGGGACGAAGCGAAAGUGACUGUACCUGCAGAAGAAGCACCGGCUAACUACGUGCCAGCCGCCGCAGUAACAC
rnacentral:rRNA from 1 species